rnacentral:rRNA from 1 species
CUCGCUGGUGUCUCGCCACGAGUGCGACCGUUGUCGGUGCCGUAGGGAAGCCGUGAAGCGAGCCACCUGGGAAGUACGGCCGCAAGGCUGAAACUUAAAGGAAUUGGCGGGGGAGCACCACAACGGGUGGAGCUUGCGGUUUAAUUGGAUUCAACGCCGGAAAUCUUACCGGGACCGACAGCAAUAUGAAGGCCAGGCUGAAGACUUUGCCGGAUUAGCUGAGAGGUGGUGCAUGGCA